GCCUUGCAUUUUUCCUCCCUCUGCCUGUUUCUGCUUUUGCUGAUCUGCCCUUUUCCUGUCCUGGGAGGUUGGUUAGCACUACAAAGCUUAAAACCAGGGCACUGAGAUUACUGUCAGUUUUGUAACAGAAACCUUUUCGUGUAGUCUUUUGAUUACACCGACUGACUGCUAAAAGUCUGGAUGUAAAACUUGCACAUUCUUAUUUCAGAGGUUCUGAGGACAUUUGCUCCUCAGUUGAAAUGCACCCAGUUAAGGAGUCCUGCGAGUGGGCGCAGGAGGAAUUAUCCUGCUCCUGCACAUGCCUUCCUGCUUGCUUUUCUGCAAGUGUUUUCCUAACUCUUUGUUUCUGUUUCCCAUCUGGAAAAUAAGAUGGUAUUUACUUACUUCUGCACGUCUUGAAAUGGUGUUUGUAGUUCAGCAAGCAUGCUGUAACCUUCAGGAGGGCAAUUACCCUUUGCUGUCCUUUCACACGUGAGCCAGGGCUUUUCGGUUGUUUUGUGUUUGCUUAGUAACAGAGGGAUUAUCAGAUGGUGGCUUCUUGCAAAUAAAGGUGUUCUGACC